rnacentral:rRNA from 1 species
CCCUGAUGUCACACUGCCAAGAAAAGCUUCUAGUGAGAAAGUAACUGCCCGUACCGCAAACCGACACAGGUAGUUGAGGAGAGAAUCCUAAGGUGUGCGAGAGAACUCUCGUUAAGGAACUCGGCAAAAUGACCCCGUAACUUCGGAAGAAGGGGUGCUGACCGCAAGGUCAGCCGCAGUGAAUAGGCCCAAGCGACUGUUUAUCAAAAACACAGGUCUCUGCAAAAUCGAAAGAUGACGUAUAGGGGCUGACGCCUGCCCGGUGCUGGAAGGUUAAGAGGAGAGGUUAGCGCAAGCGAAGCUUUGAAUUGAAGCCCCAGUAAACGGCGGCCGUAACAAUAACGGUCCUAAGGUAGCGAAAUUCCUUGUCGGGUAAGUUCCGACCCGCACGAAAGGCGUAACGAUUUGGGCACUGUCUCAACGAGAGACUCGGUGAAAUUAUAGUACCAGUGAAGAUGCUGGUUACCCGCGACAGGACGGAAAGACCCCAUGGAGCUUUACUGCAGUUUGAUAUUGCGUGUUUGUAUCACAUGUACAGGAUAGGUAGGAGCCGAAGAUACCGGGACGCCAGUCUCGGAGGAGGCAACGGUGGGAUACUACCCUUGUGAUAUGACCACUCUAACCCGCUGCUCUUAGCGAGCAGGGAGACAGUGUCAGACGGGCAGUUUGACUGGGGCGGUCGCCUCCAAAAAUGUAACGGAGGCGCCCAAAGGUUCCCUCAGAAUGGUUGGAAAUCAUUCGUAGAGUGUAAAGGCAGAAGGGAGCUUGACUGCGAGACCUACAAGUCGAGCAGGGACGAAAGUCGGGCUUAGUGAUCCGGUGGUUCCGCAUGGAAGGGCCAUCGCUCAACGGAUAAAAGCUACCCUGGGGAUAACAGGCUUAUCUCCCCCAAGAGUUCACAUCGACGGGGAGGUUUGGCACCUCGAUGUCGGCUCAUCGCAUCCUGGGGCUGUAGUCGGUCCCAAGGGUUGGGCUGUUCGCCCAUUAAAGCGGUACGCGAGCUGGGUUCAGAACGUCGUGAGACAGUUCGGUCCCUAUCCGUCGCGGGCGUUGGAAAUUUGAGAGGAGCUGUCCUUAGUACGAGAGGACCGGGAUGGACACACCGCUGGUGUACCAGUUGUUCUGCCAAGAGCAUCGCUGGGUAGCUAUGUGUGGACGGGAUAAACGCUGAAAGCAUCUAAGCGUGAAGCCCCCCUCAAGAUGAGAUUUCCCAUCACUUUAAGUGAGUAAGACCCCUGAGAGAUGAUCAGGUAGAUAGGUUGGGAGUGGAAGUACAGCGAUGUAUGGAGCGGACCAAUACUAAUCGGUCGAGGACUUAACCG